rnacentral:rRNA from 1 species
UACGAAGGGGGCUAGCGUUGCUCGGAAUCACUGGGCGUAAAGGGUGCGUAGGCGGGUUUUUAAGUCAGGGGUGAAAUCCUGGAGCUCAACUCCAGAACUGCCUUUGAUACUGAAGAUCUUGAGUUCGGGAGAGGUGAGUGGAACUGCGAGUGUAGAGGUGAAAUUCGUAGAUAUUCGCAAGAACACCAGUGGCGAAGGCGGCUCACUGGCCUGAUACUGACGCUGAGGCACGAAAGCGUGGGGAGCAAACAGG